rnacentral:rRNA from 1 species
UAGAGGACAAAUAUCUUAUAUUUGGGGUAAUUUAGUAGAAAUAAAAGAAGAAUUUUUAUGUUUUAGUAAAAGAAAAAAUUUAUUUGGGGAUAGAGAAUUAGUAUUGUAAAAGAAAAAUUGAAUUUAUUGGGUAGAAUAAUUAAUUUUUGUACCUUGUGUAUCAGGGUUUACUAAUUGGUGGCUAAGAAUUUAGUAAUCUCGAAUUUGGGGGAGCUAUUUGAAUAUAUUUAUUACUGUUUCAUAAGUAUUAUAAAUAUUUAAAUUGAAGCGAGAUACUAUACGACCUCAAAUAUAUCUAGUUUUUUAAGAAAAAAAUUUAAUUUUACUUUAUUUAUGGCAAAAUUUUAAGUUUUUAUAAUGUUGUUUUUUAGAGGUAAUAGCUUAGGGGAUGAGCUUUGGGUUAAAUUAACAUAACUAAUAUAUGUAGAUAUUUAGUAUUAGGAUUAAAAGUUUCUAUUUCUAGUGUGUUAUAUCUAGCUAAUAUUUAUUAAGAUUUAUAUAAUUUGUUUGUAUUGUUUAUUAAAAUGUAAUUUUUAAUUAGUAGAGUUUAGAAAUAAUGGUAAAAUUAGUAUAAUAAGGAUUAUUGAUUUUUUUAACUUUUAGGUUUAGUUAAGGAACUCGGCAAAUAUAUUUCUCACCUGUUUAUUAAAAACAUGUCUUUUUGGUAAUAAUUUAAAGUCUGGCCUGCCCAAUGAUUUAUUUAAUGGCCGCGGUAUACUGACCGUGCAAAGGUAGCAUAAUCAUUAGUUUUUUAAUUGAAAGCUUGUAUGAAAGGUUGAAUGAGGAAAUAGCUGUCUCAAUUAAAAUUUUUUUGAAUUUUAUUAUUUAGUAAAAAGGCUGAAAUAAGUAUGAAAGACGAGAAGACCCUAUAGAGUUUAAUAUUUAUAUGAAAGAGGUUUAUUGGAAUAUAUUUUUUUAUUUUUUAUAAAUAUUUAAUUGGGGAGAUUGAAAAAUUAGAGAAACUUUUAUUUAAUGAUUUACACUAAUUAGUGGAUUUAUGAUCCUUUAUUUAAGAUUAUAAGAAAAAAUUACCUUAGGGAUAACAGCGUUAUUUUCCUAGAGAGUUCUUAUCGAAAGGAAGGUUUGCGACCUCGAUGUUGGAUUAAAAUUAAAAUUUGGUGUAGAAGCUGGGUUAUUAGGUCUGUUCGACCUUUUUAUUUUACAUGAUCUGAGUUUAGACCGGCGUGAGCCAGGUUGGUUUCUAUCUUUAUAAAUAUAAUAUUUUUUAGUACGAAAGGACCAAAGGU